GAUGAACGCUGGCGGCGUGCCUAAUACAUGCAAGUCGAGCGAACAGACGAGGAGCUUGCUCCUCUGACGUUAGCGGCGGACGGGUGAGUAACACGUGGAUAACCUACCUAUAAGACUGGGAUAACUUCGGGAAACCGGAGCUAAUACCGGAUAAUAUAUUGAACCGCAUGGUUCAAUAGUGAAAGACGGUUUUGCUGUCACUUAUAGAUGGAUCCGCGCCGCAUUAGCUAGUUGGUAAGGUAACGGCUUACCAAGGCAACGAUGCGUAGCCGACCUGAGAGGGUGAUCGGCCACACUGGAACUGAGACACGGUCCAGACUCCUACGGGAGGCAGCAGUAGGGAAUCUUCCGCAAUGGGCGAAAGCCUGACGGAGAAACGCCGCGUGAGUGAUGAAGGUCUUCGGAUCGUAAAACUCUGUUAUUAGGGAAGAACAAAUGUGUAAGUAACUAUGCACGUCUUGACGGUACCUAAUCAGAAAGCCACGGCUAGCUACGUG
rnacentral:rRNA from 1 species